UACGAAGGGAGCUAGCGUUGCUCGGAAUCACUGGGCGUAAAGCGCACGUAGGCGGAUCUUUAAGUCAGGGGGUGAAAUCCUGGAGCUCAACUCCAGAACUGCCUUUGAUACUGGGGAUCUCGAGUCCGGAAGAGGUGAGUGGAACUCCGAGUGUAGAGGUGAAAAUUCGUAGAUAUUCGGAAAGAACACCAGUGGCGAAGGCGGCUCACUGGUCCGGUACUGACGCUGAGGUGCGAAAAGC
rnacentral:rRNA from 1 species